CCUACGGGUGGCAGCAGUGGGGAAUAUUGCACAAUGGGGGAAACCCUGAUGCAGCCAUGCCGCGUGUGUGAAGAAGGCCUUCGGGUUGUAAAGCACUUUCAGUAGGGAGGAAGGUAGUGUAGUUAACACCUGCAUUAUUUGACGUUACCUACAGAAGAAGCACCGGCUAACUCCGUGCCAGCAGCCGCGGUAAUACGGAGGGUGCGAGCGUUAAUCGGAAUUACUGGGCGUAAAGCGCAUGCAGGCGGCCUGUUAAGUCAGAUGUGAAAGCCCGGGGCUUAACCUCGGAAUUGCAUUUGAAACUGGCAGGCUAGAGUCUUGUAGAGGGGGGUAGAAUUCCAGGUGUAGCGGUGAAAUGCGUAGAGAUCUGGAGGAAUACCGGUGGCGAAGGCGGCCCCCUGGACAAAGACUGACGCUCAGGUGCGAAAGCGUGGGGAGCAAACAGGAUUAGAUACCCCUGUAGUC
rnacentral:rRNA from 1 species